rnacentral:tRNA from 1 species
GGGUAUAGAGCUCAGUGGUAGAGCGUGUGCUUAGCAUGCAUGAGGUCGUGGGUUCAAUUCCCAGUACUGCCA